rnacentral:tRNA from 1 species
AGGGGUAUGGUGUUAACGGUUAGCAUGGAGGUCUCCAAAACCUUAGGUCCGGGUUCGAAUCCUGGUACCCCUGCCA